rnacentral:rRNA from 1 species
CACGUAGGGCGCGAGCGUUGUCCGGAAUUAUUGGGCGUAAAGAGCUCGUAGGCGGCCUGUUGCGUCCGCUGUGAAAACCCGAGGCUCAACCUCGGGCCUGCAGUCGAUACGGGCAGACUAGAGUUCGGUAGGGGAGACUGGAAUUCCUGGUGUAGCGGUGAAAUGCGCAGAUAUCAGGAGGAACACCGGUGGCGAAGGCGGGUCUCUGGGCCGAAACUGACGCUGAGGAGCGAAAGCGUGGGGAGCGAACAGG